GAUGAACGCUGGCGGCGUGCCUAAUACAUGCAAGUCGAGCGAACGGACGAGAAGCUUGCUUCUCUGAUGUUAGCGGCGGACGGGUGAGUAACACGUGGAUAACCUACCUAUAAGACUGGGAUAACUUCGGGAAACCGGAGCUAAUACCGGAUAAUAUUUUGAACAGCAUGGUUCAAGAGUGAAAGACGGUCUUGCUGUCACUGAUAGAUGGAUCCGCGCUGCAUUAGCUAGUUGGUAAGGUAACGGCUUACCAAGGCAACGAUGCAUAGCCGACCUGAGAGGGUGAUCGGCCACACUGGAACUGAGACACGGUCCAGACUCCUACGGGAGGCAGCAGUAGGGAAUCUUCCGCAAUGGGCGAAAGCCUGACGGAGCCACGCCGCGUGAGUGAUGAAGGUCUUCGGAUCGUAAAACUCUGUUAUUAGGGAAGAACAUAUGUGUAAGUAACUGUGCACAUCUUGACGGUACCUAAUCAGAAAGCCACGGCUAACUACGUG
rnacentral:rRNA from 1 species